GACAGAGGCCACGAGCGUUAGGCGGAAUCACUGGGCUUAAAGCGUGUGUAGGCGGACCGUUAAGUGCCCGCGUGAAAUCCCCCGGCUCAACCGGGGAACGGCCGGGCAUACUGGCGGUCUUGAGCGGUCUAGGGGUCAUCGGAACAAACGGGGGAGCGGUGAAAUGCGUAGAUAUCUGGAGGAACACCGAAGGCGAAGGCAGCCUUCUGGGCCAACACUGACACUCAUGCACGAAAGCGUGGGGAGCAAACAGG
rnacentral:rRNA from 1 species